rnacentral:snRNA from 1 species
AGCUUUGUGCAGUGGCAGUAUUGUAGCCAAUGAGGUUUAUCCGAGGCGCGAUUAUUGCUAAUUGAAUAAUUUUAUGUUCAUUGUGAUUUUUGUAAUCAGUAAUGUGUUCUUUUUGGGUCUGGCUGUCACGACACUUAGAAGUGAACCAGGGACACUUAAUCUUUGUAUAUGACAUUUUUGACAUCUCCUUUUGGGU